ACUCUUCCACCUCCAUGAGCAUAUGCUCUAAUAAAGGGAUGACUCUGAGGAACAAUCCUAGCCUUACAUGGGACGGCCCAUGCAAUUCAGUGGCAACGUGACAGCGGUGAGGACCACUUUCGGAACGCACCUGUGAAAAACAUAGCCUAAAUAAAAGCCAGGAAAAAGUUACAACAGAAAUGUUUGGUGCUUUUACGUAGUCGGUGAUAUUUAUUUAUGCAAUUAAGAAAUGGUUGUUUCUCAUACUUGUCAUUGCACUCUGCAUAACAAGAUUUACUGUCAGUGAAAUAUGAUGGAGCAUCUCCUGAGCAACCUGUUAGGAAAACAUAUGGAUUGGCGUAGCUGAAUUUAAUAUAACCUACAAAAUAAUUAUUGAAUUGUCCUUUGAAAUUACAUGAUAAUAAAAUAUUCCAUCACUCAAAAUGAAACUACUAUCCAAAAAUGUUGACAAGAAUGCUGACGGCGACAUAACAUUAAUCCCAGAGGAGCCGGAAGACUUAUGGCAUGCCUAUAAUUUAAUUAGUGAAGGGGAUUCUGUGCGAGGAUCUACCAUUAGGAAAGUCCAAACCGAAUCAUCGACUGGAAGCUCAUCGAGCAACAGAGUAAGAACUGUGUUGACGAUCAAAGUGGAAUCUAUAGAUUUUGAUACCCAAGCCUGUAAACUGAGAUUAAAAGGUCGAAAUAUUGAAGAAAAUCAGUAUGUCAAGAUGGGUGCUUAUCACACGCUGGAUCUAGAGCAGAAUAGAAAAUUCACACUUUACAAGCCUGAGUGGGAUUCCAUUUCCUUGGAACGAGUAGACACGGCUUGCGACCCUACUCAGAGUGCUGAUUUAGCUGCUGUUAUAAUGCAAGAUGGAAUAGCUCAUGUUUGCCUUAUUACCUCUAACAUGACUUUGGUUAGAGCUAAAAUAGAUCAAAAUAUACCAAGAAAAAGAAAAGGGAAUGUAUCACAGCAUGAAAAGGGUUUGGCUCGCUUUUAUGAAAGCGUCAUGCAGGCAAUCCUACGACAUAUCAAUUUCGAUGUAGUCAAGUGUAUUCUCUUGGCCAGUCCUGGUUUUGUUAAAAAUCAAUUCAUGGAGUUUAUGAUUCAAGAAGCAGUGAGAACAGAUAAUAAAGUGAUUCUAGACAAUAAGGCCAAGUUCAUGCUUGUCCAUGCUAGUUCUGGCUUCAAGCACUCACUAAGAGAGGUGCUGGCAGACCCAGCAGUCGUAAGUCGAGUAGCUGACACAAAAGCGGCUGGUGAAGUGAGAGCAUUACAGGCUUUUUAUACACUGUUACAAACAGAACCAGCCAGAGCAUUUUAUGGGAAGAGACAUGUGGAAAAAGCUAACGAGGCUCAGGCUAUUGAGACUUUACUAAUUUCGGACAAAUUGUUCAGAUGUCAAGAUAUUGCGACGCGGAAACAAUAUGUCAACCUCGUGGACAGUGUCAGAGAGUUGGGUGGUGAUGUCAAAAUUUUUUCCAGCAUGCAUGUAUCUGGUGAACAACGAGGAGUGUGAUGAUCAUCGACACGCUGACACAUAAGUGAUUCCCGAGGUCUCCUGGCAGUAAUGGGGGAAAGUACCAACGCCGAAUUUCGUGGAAUCCCAUUCCCUUAACCGCCCUAACACUCUUAUAACAAGGCAGUACUGUAUUUAUUUCGUUAAAAUUAGAUCAACUGACAGGAGUGGCUGCUUUGUUGCGGUUUCCAAUAACCGAAUUAGAAGAUGAAAGUGAAGACAGCGAAUCAGAAAACGAAGACGAGAAAUAAUUAUAUUUAAAUGUAUGAUUGACAAAACAUAUUCACAUAGGUCAUUAAUUAAGAAAUUGUAAACAAUAAAAAUUAUUUAAUAAUUUUCAUUCGUGAAGUACGCGAAAUGACUAAAUCAACGUUGUAGCGAAUAAAAGAUUUAAUACAUAUUC